AGAGAAACAGUGAAUUGCAACUCUUGAGCCAUUGAACAAGAAAUACACACAGCUACUAUGGGAAUUGUCACUUGUCAAAGCUAGUUCUGGUUAUGUCUUAAUGAGCUCUGAAGAUUCAUUUUGUUUUGUUUGUUUACUUAUACAGCUAGAUUAAUAGAUUUUGUGAUAUUUUUAAAGUGUAAAUCUAUUUAAUUUUAUUAGCAGUCUGGAACUAAGUUAGAGGAAUUUCUAUGUUUAUGUCAAUU
rnacentral:misc_RNA from 1 species